GGGGCUGGGGGGGCGGCGGCUGCGGCGGCUGCGGCUGGAAGCCUGACGGGGUCAUUCGAUCCCGGGGAGGUGAAAUUGGUUCUGACUUAAUGUUGAUGUUCUGGUUGGUAUUAAUGGAUAAAUUCGAACCCUGAGAUAACUGCCCUCCAGCACUGAAGGAAAGAAAAGAUGUUAGACGGUGGGUGAGCGCACCUGCAUAACCGGAAUGGUACUGCAGCCACCGCCCGACUGGAAGCCCGUCAGAAUUCCCCAGGACUGCCUUUAAUGCGCUCUCCGUGGAAGGAAAAAAAUGCCCAGGACGGUGGAGAGCUUUGGGGUCUAGUACCCCUGGCCACGGCCUGGGUCCUUCUGCAGGGAAAGGAGCCGAAACUGUGCGUCUGCGGCUGCGCGGGGAGCAGAAUGGGAGGGAAGGACUACGGGCCCUGCGCGCAGCUUCCUCUCUGCUCUGGCCCUGGGACGGGCGCAGCUCAUCUGUGCGCAUGGCAACGCGAAGGCCGCCACCGACCCUAUUUUCCAGGGGGAGGAAACCGCCUCGGAAGGCCAACUUGCUCAGAGCAGCAGUGUGUACAGGCUUCUCCCCCAGUCUGCGCGCCAAGCCCUUUCCGCUUGCCGUGUGUUCAUUUAGGACGAACAGACCCCCUGAGGGCCAACGGGCCAAGAAAAUCAAAGAAGGAAACUCUCCUUGGCUUUCUCCGUGGACAGGAGGGGAGGAACAACAGGGGUGGGGUAUCUUGUGUGUGAAUCCGGCUACUGGGGUUCAUGUGGUUGAUCCCAGCCCGCUGCACACACCGAACCUCACCAAGAAGAGUUCAACAAAGAGAACAUUCCUUAUGGGCAGGGUGAGGGCACAGGAGGGAGACGAGCUUACGGUGGUGCCCAGGGGGUAUCCGAGAGCGCUAGCAGGAGGGAGAACCAGGAUGACGGGACAGGUGGGGGAGAGCAUCUCAGAAGAGGGGACACAACAGCAGACCCAGUUAGCUUCCAUGAGUGUUGGCUAUUUUCCUAUUCCCUUUGUGCACGGAUAACCACCAAAGCAAAAAAAAAAAAAGUGUGUGGAGGGUGGUGGUGGGCCUGAAUACCUUUAAGCUGCCUUUCUUCCAACACUGGGAUCAGAUGUAGACGUGGGGAAGGAGGGGUGGGACUGGGUGGCUUAAUGGUUGGCUGGUAGGUAGAAGGGAGGUGCAGGUGGGAGACGUCUGUGCCUCAGUACCCCUUGGUUACUAUUUUGAGUCUCUCUACCUCCACAGUAGAGAAGCCUUGCUCCCCAGAUCUCUUCAGGGAAUGCCUAGUUUGAUCAGUAUCCAAGCUAUUAUCUAGAAUCACAUAAAGGAAAUAUUUUCUCCAAACACUUGUACCACGUAAAAAAGAGAUCAUUCUAGGACAGUCACAUGACAGUAAACGCACAAAAGACUGUAACCGACAGAAAAAUAAAGCGCACGGGCUGGGAGGAGAGACUCGGGGACAAUCUCUAGGUACUCACACCAGAGAGCUGAGGGCUGCUUGUCCUAAAUGGUGCUGCUGCCAGGCCGACACCUGUCCCAGAGACAGCAUGCCCGGGGAGUUGAAGCCCUGCAGGGCCGACAGGUCUGCGCUAGUCAGUGAGUAAUCUAGGACAAGGGAAGAAGUAUUACUCGUGUGUGGGCGAGAAGGCCCAAGCAAAUCCGUUUUUCACAGAGUAGCUCCAAAAGUUCCCCGGUUGAGAGAAGCCAGGUACUUCCUAACAUAAAAGACACAGGUCUAAACCGACAAUAGUUUUUCUUUUGGGAGGUUUACAGGUCCUAGCUGCAUUUGCUUGUGUGGGAUUAUCUCAGUAAAGUCAGUCUCAACUCUGUACUACAUGUUUACAGUUUCCUAGCUCACAAAAAGUUGAGAUCCUUUUUCCAGACUUGUAAAUAGAAAUAAUGACAGGGCCAUCGCUAAGGGACGUGCGUAUGCAGCUGUCGCCUUACACAUGCCCAUCGCUCCCCGCCCCCGGGAAAAAGGAGCGACAGAUGGGACAGAGCCUCGAUCAGCAGCUCUUCUCUUCUUGAAGUACCGGGGAGCAGGAAGGACAGAGCACCCCUUCUCGUGCGGGGCCAAGCUCAGGGGCCUGGAGAAAACGUUAGCACACGACUGAUGAACGGCGGUCGUUCACAGUACGGGGCUGUCGAAGAUCCCGGACUGCGUGCAACACAACUUCAUGAACAAACUUACGUGUGACAAGAGUAUAAUAGAGAAAAUAGCUCAUUUUCUCUGAAUGCCUCAGUCAUAAUCACUUUGGCCGAGACUCAGGACAGUAGGUAUCAUUCACACAUCGAGCUAGUUCAGUUCUUCAUUAACACUUCUCUUUUCCAUACAGUUUUAAAGAGAGGUGGCAAAAACUCUUCUACUUUUUACUGCUUUCUCAUGUCUCAAGAGAGGUAUUUAAAGAAGCUGGUCUUCCUAGUGAAUUAACACUAAUAGAAAAGGGACUGAGUGGCAAGGACAUAGCUGGUGCUUAGGACUCUGCCUGCCUCUACACUCUGCUCAUGCCACGAUCUCCGACCGCCUCAUCCACUCCCCGAGGCGGCGGCACAGGAGGUCCCGCACACUGGUGCCUUCCACAGUGCCCCCUGCGGCCCCCAACUCUCUACCUCUAGGUCCUCCCAACUACCUACUUGGUAUGCCCAUUUGGAUGUCUCUCCAAACACCUCAAAUCUGCCACCCGAACUGGCCGCCUCGUCCCCUCCAAACCUGCUCCUUAUCUUAAUAAACGGCACCGAUAUUCACCUGGUUGCCCGUGCCAGAAACCUGCGAGUGUUCUUGAUCCUUCUCUCCUACCUCCACCACCACCCACCAAGGCCGGUCUGAUCUCUGUGUUCUCUCAAACCUGCCCGUUUCACCAGCUCUCCUGCCACCGCUCUCGUCUAAGCCAUCAGGAUCCACUACUUGGGCCACCAUGCUACCCUCCCGUGUGGUCUCCUGGCAUGCAGUUUUGCCCCUAUGAACGCUAGCCAAAGUGAUCUUAAAGUUAACAAAUAUGCUCCAGGUACCUCUCUGCCUCAAACUUUCUGGCUUCCCAGUGCUCCCAAUAUCCAAAAUCUUCAACAUGGCCUAUAAAUUGUUACUCACCUCUAUAGUUUCAACUCUACACACCCUGCUACCUACCCCCAUCCCUCCAGCCAGGCUCCGCUCUGCUAGCCUUUGUACACAGUGCUCCCUCUCCCUGGAACAUUCUUCCUGCUCUGCCCGGCUGAAUCAUGUGUGCCCCUUUAGUGAAGCUUCAAGUAGCUCUUCACAUGACUAUAAUAAAUGAUUCCUAGAGCCGUCAGUCCUGUGUCUUUCUCCACUGGCAACCAUACACUCUUGUGUGCCCGGCCCAGUACCUGCCACAUAGCAAGUGCUCAAUAAAUAUGUGUUGAAUGGAUGCGCGAGCAGGUCUGUGAAGCUGGGCGUGACCUUACUGAUGGGCAUGAGGAAGUAUCUGGGAUUCCUCCACAUAAAAACUGUUGGACUUUCUGAAAUGUCGCUCAUCUCUUCAUCCCUUUCCUGACCAUUUGGUGUGAAUUUGACUCUAUGUACAGAAAGGCAGAUGACAUUCUACAGAAAGAUGAAAACGGACAUGUGUUUAAAAAGGGCAACUAAAUACAGUAAAAAUAAUAGUGUUUAAAAUUAAGCCAAAUACAUGCUCCGGAAAAGAGCACAGAGACCAAGUCAGUUAAAAGAAGGAAUGAGACUGAGGCCAAGGGAUUGAUAGUUUUGAGAGAAUCGGACUCUGUUUUUAUGUUUUGGUAAUUCCUUCUGGACUUUUAAAAAAACAAGUUCUUGCUAAUCCAACAGCAUGUCUAAAAGCAUGCACAGUGGAAUGUCUACGUAUACUGGAAAACCUGUCAUGAAGUGCUCAGGAAACUGCCCUCGCUUCGAACCAGUUCAAGCCCCAUCUCUGCCGCCCGUGCUCCUCUGAACCUUUCAGCUUGUACGUGUCCCUCUUUCCUCACGUUCUCAAGAGUGCAAACUGCUAAGCUCCACUGCUCAGGACUUCACCUCCAGAGCUGCCACCUCAGGUACAUCCUGUCUCCCUAGCUGGCAUGAAUCUGGGACAAAAGCUCCAUCCCUGGCAUACUGUCACUCAUACAGCUGAUGAUCACUGCAAGGACACAGAAUUUCUAUGGAUGUGUUACCUCUUGCUUUACUCUAGAUUUGCACUUAAUAGAUUUGGACAUUUUUUCAUACUGAUUGUUAGAAAAGGUAGUGGACAUUUUCCUAAGAGGCUUUCUUUUUUCAACAAAACCUUUUAAAAUUCGGUUUUAAAUGAACUACAUGGAAUUAAAGUGACAAUCAAAUGUAUCAAUGGCCUCAGGGAGCUUCAGACAGCAGUUUGAAAGCACCGUGCUAAAGCAUUUACUCUGAAGUCUAAAAUUAGAUGAUUUUUAUUAUAGUCUACUUAGAAGAAUCAUGAAAGGAUGAAUGCCCUGCACUGCAGUCUGAAUAACUGACAAGGUAUCAUUUAACUAUUUCCUUCUUUCCUUCUUCCUUUGAAGCAUCAGGUGUUUGGCUCAACGGGUGAGAAAGCGAAACCACAUGCGCCGGCCUUCGGCCUCUCCUCAGAACGGCUGAUCUGGAAGAAACCUGCUGCACGUUGGGCCUCUGCAGACAGCCUGCGUGGCUAAGAGCGCCCCUCCGAUCACUCAGCAGUGCUAACUUUGCCUACCAAACCCCCGAAACAGGGUAUUUUAAAAUGAAAUGUCUAAAUAAACAUAAAUGAGUGAGAAGCUCCUCUCAGAAGGAGGAGUGACCGGCUCUGAGGAGAAACAAGAAAGGUCCCGGUUUGGCUCCUAAGGCACAAAGGACAGAAACAAAACCAGGCGGCUACACAGAGGAAAACACAACCUGCCCGGCGCAGCGACACAUCUGCCACAUUUCGGAGGCCUGAGUCCCAGGGGAUUCCGUCUUCCCCCCAGUGGGUUAACACAGCGUGAGAAAACGGUCUCCCUUCACCAGCCUGGAGGAGUGGCAUACUGUGUAAUGAGACACGACAGAGAAAAUGCCAAGCAGCAGUCUCUCCUCCUCCCUGGUUUGACGCACAGGCCGUAAUUCUGGGAACAGCUACCUGUUUCUUCGUCAAGGGUCUCUGAGGCUGUCCUACUCCACUGUGGAAGUGGCAAAUACCACCUGAGGAAAAGCAGUCACAAAUGCUGGGCUCACCCUCUUCAAGGCUCUGUCUCCAUCAUUCCCUGAAUCUUGAGCCAGACAGGAUAGAUGCCUACGAAGUAAAACAGGAGUAAUUCAC